UUGUUUUAUCUAAAAAUGUGUAAAUGCUUAGUUAUUCAACCAUUCAUGACUGAAAUGUACUACUAAAUUUAAUAUUUAAAAGUAAAUCCUAUUACUAAAAUCAAAUUAAUGUAUCUUUUUCAAAUUAAUCUUCUGGGUUUUUCCUACUUUGUGAAGCCUUAUUUCAUCCGUUUUGUAUGUGAACUGGCGGCUGCACUUGUGACUGAGGGAGCAAGCAGCAUCUUAAAUACUGUUUUUGCUCUCUCUUGAGUCAAAAACAACUGAUAGCCUACUAUAUUCGCAAGUUUAAAAGACCAAUUCCAUGUUUUAUGUGAUGCAAAGUUGUAUGCUGAAAAUCUCUGACAUACCUUUUGGUUUUGUGAUGUUAAACAUUAAGAAGUUUGGCUUAGGGCAAAUCUAAUUUUAAAAUUGCUUGGCACAUCACUAGAAUGCAGUACAUAUAACAUGCUUUUUAAUAUUAUUAUUAUUAUUACUUUCAGAAUGCACAGUCCUCGAUUCUUGUAGCUCCCACUCAGACACACUAGUUCUCACCCCAAACCACCCUGAAACUGAUGACCGUGCUGAGCCAAGCAUGAAGAGACCUCGUUUUGAUGAAGCUUUUGAGGCUAAGCAGUUUGUCAGUGAAAUUUUGAAAGAAAAGGCAGGUGGACUUGCCGUUUUGGCCGAAUAUAAUGAACAUGGAAAACUCACAGAUUCAACCCGGCGACAGUUAGUCAACAUCGUUGUUGCAUACAUAACUGAAAAAGAAGGUCGUGUCCCUUCCAAAGAAACAAAAACACGCUGUGCCUUGGGAAUUGUAACUCUUUGCCCAUCACUGAAGGAUCCAUACUCAAGAACUGGAUAUGAACAUUUCUAUGACCCCAAGAGCAAUCAAGGAUACAUAUCAUGGCGUCUGAAAACAGUUUCACGCCGAAGCAAAAGCCAGAGCACAAGAAAUGCCAGGUCAAGUGCAGCAUCGGAUGAAGGCAACGGAGGACCAACAGCUAACAGAGCCAACUGGAACUAUUUGGAAAAGCAGCUCGAUGGCGACCGAUGCAAAGAAGCCAUAUCAUUUAUGAGUCAUUGUGCUGACAAGGACCAGAUUUUUGAGAAGAUGAAAUUAACAUUCAAGCACAGACAGCAGCUUAUUCAUGAUGCAGAGAAGUCCAGCACAGCUCUUUCAGUUUUUCCAAGAUUUCUCGACACAAAGGGAUUGGUUCUUCAAGACUUUGACAUUAAAUUUGGAACUGAAACCGCUUCCAGACUACUAGAACAAUGGGACACUUUAAAGCCAAAGAUCAUCGCAGAGGCGAAAACGCUUAAUUCAAACUUGUACCUAAACAGCCUGCUUGCAGCUGGCACUGGGCAGAACCUGGAAUGUGAAUGGCAAGGAUGGGACAGUGACAUGUCCUGUCUUUUACUACUGGCUUUCCUUUUGCCACCUUCAGCAGGUGGUAGAAACAAUUCAACAAAGAUCAGCAUUAAGGAGGCAAUGGAUCAUGUUGUGCAGUUUCACAAGGCUUGUUGCAGUCUAACUGAAUAUGUUGAGAAGACUGAAGGCCUGCAACCACAUCUCCUUGCAGUUGGCUCUGCAAAGAAUGCCAUUCAUGAGUUCUACAUUGUUCUGGAUGGAAAACUUCUACCAUGUCAGGCAAAGUCAUCCCUUUCUGCUUUUGACGAACUGUUUAAAGCGUAUUUUGUUUUUAGUGUGUCAUACCCCCACUCCUUAAAUGCAAUGUUUACAUUUGUUCAGACAACAAUCUACAAGAUUGGCUGUGGCACAGUUCGUGAAACCCCAAGGGUAAAGGACCUACGAGCCAAACUUCUGAAUUAGCUCUCUUGACUGACUGAAAAUGUUCCG